AUCCUGAGUACGACGGAGCACGUGAAAUUCCGUCGGAAUCUGGGAGGACCAUCUCCUAAGGCUAAAUACUCUCUAGUGACCGAUAGUGAACCAGUACCGUGAGGGAAAGGUGAAAAGCACCCCGGAAGGGGAGUGAAAUAGAACCUGAAACCGUGUGCUUACAAGUAGUCAGAGCCCGUUAAUGGGUGAUGGCGUGCCUUUUGUAGAAUGAACCGGCGAGUUACGAUUUGAUGCAAGGUUAAGCAGUAAAUGUGGAGCCGUAGCGAAAGCGAGUCUGAAUAGGGCGUUUAGUAUUUGGUCGUAGACCCGAAACCAGGUGAUCUACCCUUGGUCAGGUUGAAGUUCAGGUAACACUGAAUGGAGGACCGAACCGACUUACGUUGAAAAGUGAGCGGAUGAACUGAGGGUAGCGGAGAAAUUCCAAUCGAACCUGGAGAUAGCUGGUUCUCUCCGAAAUAGCUUUAGGGCUAGCCUCAAGUGAUGAUUAUUGGAGGUAGAGCACUGUUUGGACGAGGGGCCCCUCUCGGGUUACCGAAUUCAGACAAACUCCGAAUGCCAAUUAAUUUAACUUGGGAGUCAGAACAUGGGUGAUAAGGUCCGUGUUCGAAAGGGAAACAGCCCAGACCACCAGCUAAGGUCCCAAAAUAUAUGUUAAGUGGAAAAGGAUGUGGCGUUGCCCAGACAACUAGGAUGUUGGCUUAGAAGCAGCCAUCAUUUAAAGAGUGCGUAAUAGCUCACUAGUCGAGUGACACUGCGCCGAAAAUGUACCGGGGCUAAACAUAUUACCGAAGCUGUGGAUUGUCCUUUGGACAAUGGUAGGAGAGCGUUCUAAGGGCGUUGAAGCAUGAUCGUAAGGACAUGUGGAGCGCUUAGAAGUGAGAAUGCCGGUGUGAGUAGCGAAAGACGGGUGAGAAUCCCGUCCACCGAUUGACUAAGGUUUCCAGAGGAAGGCUCGUCCGCUCUGGGUUAGUCGGGUCCUAAGCUGAGGCCGACAGGCGUAGGCGAUGGAUAACAGGUUGAUAUUCCUGUACCACCUAUAAUCGUUUUAAUCGAUGGGGGGACGCAGUAGGAUAGGCGAAGCGUGCGAUUGGAUUGCACGUCUAAGCAGUAAGGCUGAGUAUUAGGCAAAUCCGGUACUCGUUAAGGCUGAGCUGUGAUGGGGAGAAGACAUUGUGUCUUCGAGUCGUUGAUUUCACACUGCCGAGAAAAGCCUCUAGAUAGAAAAUAGGUGCCCGUACCGCAAACCGACACAGGUAGUCAAGAUGAGAAUUCUAAGGUGAGCGAGCGAACUCUCGUUAAGGAACUCGGCAAAAUGACCCCGUAACUUCGGGAGAAGGGGUGCUCUUUAGGGUUAACGCCCAGAAGAGCCGCAGUGAAUAGGCCCAAGCGACUGUUUAUCAAAAACACAGGUCUCUGCUAAACCGUAAGGUGAUGUAUAGGGGCUGACGCCUGCCCGGUGCUGGAAGGUUAAGAGGAGUGGUUAGCUUCUGCGAAGCUACGAAUCGAAGCCCCAGUAAACGGCGGCCGUAACUAUAACGGUCCUAAGGUAGCGAAAUUCCUUGUCGGGUAAGUUCCGACCCGCACGAAAGGCGUAACGAUUUGGGCACUGUCUCAACGAGAGACUCGGUGAAAUCAUAGUACCUGUGAAGAUGCAGGUUACCCGCGACAGGACGGAAAGACCCCGUGGAGCUUUACUGUAGCCUGAUAUUGAAAUUCGGCACAGCUUGUACAGGAUAGGUAGGAGCCUUUGAAACGUGAGCGCUAGCUUACGUGGAGGCGCUGGUGGGAUACUACCCUAGCUGUGUUGGCUUUCUAACCCGCACCACUUAUCGUGGUGGGAGACAGUGUCAGGCGGGCAGUUUGACUGGGGCGGUCGCCUCCUAAAAGGUAACGGAGGCGCUCAAAGGUUCCCUCAGAAUGGUUGGAAAUCAUUCAUAGAGUGUAAAGGCAUAAGGGAGCUUGACUGCGAGACCUACAAGUCGAGCAGGGUCGAAAGACGGACUUAGUGAUCCGGUGGUUCCGCAUGGAAGGGCCAUCGCUCAACGGAUAAAAGCUACCCCGGGGAUAACAGGCUUAUCUCCCCCAAGAGUUCACAUCGACGGGGAGGUUUGGCACCUCGAUGUCGGCUCAUCGCAUCCUGGGGCUGUAGUCGGUCCCAAGGGUUGGGCUGUUCGCCCAUUAAAGCGGUACGCGAGCUGGGUUCAGAACGUCGUGAGACAGUUCGGUCCCUAUCCGUCGUGGGCGUAGGAAAUUUGAGAGGAGCUGUCCUUAGUACGAGAGGACCGGGAUGGACAUACCUCUGGUGUACCAGUUGUCGUGCCAACGGCAUAGCUGGGUAGCUAUGUGUGGACGGGAUAAGUGCUGAAAGCAUCUAAGCAUGAAGCCCCCCUCAAGAUGAGAUUUCCCAACUUCGGUUAUAAGAUCCCUCAAAGAUGAUGAGGUUAAUAGGUUCGAGGUGGAAGCAUGGUGACAUGUGGAGCUGACGAAUACUAAUCGAUCGAAGACUUAAUCAA
rnacentral:rRNA from 1 species